GUGCACAUUUCAUUGUCCUUUUUUAUGUCAAGAAGAAAGAUGUGCCAAACUAACCUUUGGAGGCAAAUUAGCAGCAUGGCUUAGUUAGCCAUUGCUGUCAGUCACCUUCAGAUUAGC
rnacentral:snoRNA from 1 species